rnacentral:tRNA from 1 species
ACCUGAAAAACACCUGUUCACAACCAGGUCAUCUUGAAGCCACCCUCUAGCCCAACUAAUAUCUUCA